UAGGACCAAAUCUUGCUUAUGAAGCAUUUCACUUUUGUACUUUCAUUUGGAGGAGCAAAAAGAAACGGUAAUGGAUGAUCAUAUUUUUGCUCUCGGACAACUCCUUUUUGGAUAUAAUUCAAGAUUUCCAACUAGAAUUUUACAUAGACAAGAGUGCAAUUGAGGGUUUUCCCACUUAUUGAGGAUUAGCAUCAACAUUAAGACGAGUUCGUUUUGGGUUUAUAUUGGCGACUUAAGGUACAGAUACUCGAUUUGGUGAUCCUCCAGCUUAGAAUUUCUACUCAGCAUGUCUUGGAGAGCUCCAUUGUUCCGGAGCCUAGACUUUUGGUACAGAUCUUUUGAUGUAUAUAUAUGUUUAUCCAGGGGUACGGCGGGGCCCUGUCCCGUUAUAUUUUACUAUCGAUACUCUUAGAGGUCUGUAGACACAGGUGUGGGUUGUGUAUAAGUUUUGUUCAGCUGUGUCUAUAC